AGCUCGGUGGCGGAAUUGGUCAGACGCGCUUUGUGUGCCCCGGAAGGGGUAUUGCCGGUUCGAGUCCGGCCCGGGCUG
rnacentral:tRNA from 1 species